GAAGGUACAGCUCACUGGUAGAGCACGUGCUUAGUAUGCCCACGGUACUGGGUUCAAUCCCCAGUACCUCCG
rnacentral:tRNA from 1 species